rnacentral:sRNA from 1 species
UAGCUCAGUUGGUAGAGCAGUUGACUUUUAAUCAAUUGGUCGCAGGUUCGAAUCCUGCACGACCCACCAAUUUCAUCAUUUAACUCAGAUGCUGAACGUGAAGGAUAACGUUGCGUCAGCAACGGCCCGAAGGGCGAGGCAAAGCCGAGUCAUCCUGCACGACCUACCA